rnacentral:rRNA from 1 species
AUUGAACGCUGGCGGCAUGCCUUACACAUGCAAGUCGAACGGCAGCACGGGAGCAAUCCUGGUGGCGAGUGGCGAACGGGUGAGUAAUACAUCGGAACGUGCCCAAUCGUGGGGGAUAACGCAGCGAAAGCUGUGCUAAUACCGCAUACGAUCUACGGAUGAAAGCAGGGGAUCGCAAGACCUUGCGCGAAUGGAGCGGCCGAUGGCAGAUUAGGUAGUUGGUGAGGUAAAGGCUCACCAAGCCGUCGAUCUGUAGCUGGUCUGAGAGGACGACCAGCCACGCUGGGACUGAGACACGGCCCAGACUCCUACGGGAGGCAGCAGUGGGGAAUUUUGGACAAUGGGCGAAAGCCUGAUCCAGCCAUGCCGCGUGCAGGAUGAAGGCCUUCGGGUUGUAAACUGCUUUUGUACGGAACGAAACGGCCUUUUCUAAUAAAGAGGGCUAAUGACGGUACCGUAAGAAUAAGCACCGGCUAACUACGUGCCAGCAGCCGCGGUAAUACGUAGGGUGCAAGCGUUAAUCGGAAUUACUGGGCGUAAAGCGUGCGCAGGCGGUUAUGUAAGACAGUUGUGAAAUCCCCGGGCUCAACCUGGGAACUGCAUCUGUGACUGCAUAGCUAGAGUACGGUAGAGGGGGAUGGAAUUCCGCGUGUAGCAGUGAAAUGCGUAGAUAUGCGGAGGAACACCGAUGGCGAAGGCAAUCCCCUGGACCUGUACUGACGCUCAUGCACGAAAGCGUGGGGAGCAAACAGG